rnacentral:rRNA from 1 species
GACGAACGCUGGCGGCGUGCUUAACACAUGCAAGUCGAACGGAAAGGCCCUGCUUUUGUGCGGUGCUCGAGUGGCGAACGGGUGAGUAACACGUGAGUAACCUGCCCUUGACUUUGGGAUAACUUCAGGAAACUGGGGCUAAUACCGGAUAGCAGAUCCUGCUGCAUGGUGAGGGUUGGAAAGUCUCGGCGGUUGGGGCUGGACGCGCGGCUUAUCAGCUUGUUGGUGGGGUAGUGGCUUACCAAGGCUUUGACGGGUAGCCGGCCUGGGAGGGUGACCGGGGACAUUGGGACUGAGGUACGGCCCAGAGUCCUACGGGAGGCAGCAGUGGGGAGUAUUGCACAAUGGGCGGAAGCCUGAUGCAGCGACGCCGCGGGCGGGAUGACGGCCUUCGGGUUAUAAACCGCUUUCGCCUGUGACGAAGCGUGAGUGACGGUAAUGGGUAAAGAAGCACCGGCUAACUACGUG